UACGUAGGGUGCAAGCGUUGUCCGGAAUUAUUGGGCGUAAGGAGCUCGUAGGCGGUUUGUCGCGUCUGCUGUGAAAACUCAGGGCUUAGCCCUGAGCCUGCAGUGGGUACGGGCAGACUAGAGUGUGGUAGGGGAGAUCGGAAUUCCUGGUGUAGCGGUGGAAUGCGCAGAUAUCAGGAGGAACACCGGUGGCGAAGGCGGAUCUCUGGGCCAUUACUGACGCUGAGGAGCGAAAGCGUGGGGAGCGAACAGG
rnacentral:rRNA from 1 species